rnacentral:rRNA from 1 species
UACGGGGGGGGCAAGCGUUGUUCGGAAUUACUGGGCGUAAAGGGCUCGUAGGCGGCCAACUAAGUCAUACGUGAAAUCCCUCGGCUUAACCGGGGAACUGCGUCUGAUACUGGAUGGCUUGAGUUCGGGAGAGGGAUGCGGAAUUCCAGGUGUAGCGGUGAAAUGCGUAGAUAUUCGCAGAACACCAGUGGCGAAGGCGGCCGACUGGUCCGGUUCUGACGCUGAGGCGCGAAAGCGUGGGGAGCAACAGG